rnacentral:rRNA from 1 species
GAUGAACGCUGGCGGCGUGCCUAAUACAUGCAAGUCGAGCGAACAGACGAGGAGCUUGCUCCUCUGACGUUAGCGGCGGACGGGUGAGUAACACGUGGAUAACCUACCUAUAAGACUGGGAUAACUUCGGGAAACCGGAGCUAAUACCGGAUAAUAUAUUGAACCGCAUGGUUCAAUAGUGAAAGACGGUUUUGCUGUCACUUAUAGAUGGAUCCGCGCCGCAUUAGCUAGUUGGUAAGGUAACGGCUUACCAAGGCAACGAUGCGUAGCCGACCUGAGAGGGUGAUCGGCCACACUGGAACUGAGACACGGUCCAGACUCCUACGGGAGGCAGCAGUAGGGAAUCUUCCGCAAUGGGCGAAAGCCUGACGGAGCAACGCCGCGUGAGUGAUGAAGGUCUUCGGAUCGUAAAACUCUGUUAUUAGGGAAGAACAAAUGUGUAAGUAACUAUGCACGUCUGGACGGUACCUAAUCAGAAAGCCACGGCUAACUACG